ACUGUCCUCCUCUUAAAAACGACCACAUAGGUCGUUUGUGCAAGCAGCAUAUUACGACCUAUUAUUACGUUUUAAAAUCAAGCGCCCUCUAGCGGCCGUAUUACGACAGUCUCGUUUGUCGGGUGUGUCGUCAUCAAAUGACCUUUGACUGUCGUUACCAUCGUUACCACCCAAAAAAAGGAGGCGUGACCCAACAUCUUACCAUGCGUUGUUGUCCAGUUUUGCAGUUUCUUCAUAUCACAUACAUCUCCAGCUCCUACAACAACAUUCAGUGUCCAGCAGCUCUUUAUGAUGCUCUCUCUCUCUCUCUCUCUCUCUCUCUCUCUCUCUCUCUCUCUCUCUCUCUCUCUCUCUCUCUCUCUCUCUCUCUCUCUCUCUCUCUCUCUCUCUCUCUCUCUCUCUCUCUCUCUUCUCUCUCUCUCUCUCUCUCUCUCUCAUUUUCCUUUCCUAUUUUUCUGAACUGUAAUUCAUAAAUAAGUCACACAUAUUUUUCUUUCUUUCUCUUGUUCAUCAUGGCAUAUUUUCACAGCUCAGAAUCAGAUUUUGAUCAGUUCUUGUAUUAACAGGGAACUUGUACUCGAAGCUCAACUUGAAGAAGUUUCCAGUGAAGAUGAAGUCCUUCAAAGGUUCGACACAGCUGAAAAGGAAGACCAUGGGCCUGUCAAACCUUGUUUGUGGAGAGGGAUGAAUUUGACCAUCUUGUGUGUUUACGGAGAAGACCAAAAGCUGCUAAGGCAGAUAUUUCCAGAGGAUUUCUGACAGAUUACUGAGUCCUUCUCCAUCAGCUCUCCACAAUAGCAGCCCUUCCAAAAGCAUCCACAUCACUCUCUCUUGUGUGGCACAUCUGCUCUCAGUCGUUAGCAUGUCUACUUGUAUUAUUUCUCCUCUAGUCAACACUCCCAUCUCUACUGUGAACACUCCUGUCACUAUCACCAUCCCACCUACUGUAUUCUAUAUGCCAUAUAUAUAUAUAUAUAUAUA